rnacentral:rRNA from 1 species
AUUGAACGCUGGCGGCAUGCUUUACACAUGCAAGUCGAACGGUAACAGACCGCGAGGUUCUUCCGAGUGGCGAACGGGUGCGUAAUGCAUCGGAACGUGUCCAGACGUGGGUUAUCGCUACUCGUAAGAGUAGCUAAUACCCCCUACUAUCUCUGGAUGAAUGCGGGUGACCGCAAGGCCUCGUGCGAUUUUACCCGCCUGUAUCAGCCGAUGUCGGAGUAGGUAGUUGGGGGGGUAAAGGCCCACCAAGGUAACGAUCCGUAGCUGGUCUGAGAGGAUGAUCAGCCACACUGGAACUGAGACACGGUCCAGACUCCUACGGGAGGCAGCAGUGGGGAAUAUUGGACAAUGGGCGCAAGCCUGAUCCAGCAAUGCCGCGUGGAGGAAGAAGGCCUUCGGGUUGUAAACUGCUUUUGUUGGGAACGAAACGCCUCUGGUUAAUACCCGGCGGUAAUGACGGUACCGUAAGAAUAAGCACCGGCUAACUACGUG